rnacentral:rRNA from 1 species
GACGAACGCUGGCGGCGUGCUUAACACAUGCAAGUCGUACGGUAAGGCCCUUUCGGGGGUACACGAGUGGCGAACGGGUGAGUAACACGUGAGUAGCCUGCCCACAACUUUGGGAUAACGCUAGGAAACUGGUGCUAAUACUGGAUAUGUGCUCCUGCUGCAUGGUGGGGGUUGGAAAGCUCCGGCGGUUGUGGAUGGACUCGCGGCCUAUCAGCUUGUUGGUGGGGUAGUGGCCUACCAAGGCGGCGACGGGUAGCCGGCCUGAGAGGGUGGCCGGCCACAUUGGGACUGAGAUACGGCCCAGACUCCUACGGGAGGCAGCAGUGGGGAAUAUUGCACAAUGGGCGCAAGCCUGAUGCAGCAACGCCGCGUGCGGGAUGACGGCCUUCGGGUUGUAAACCGCUUUCAGCAGGGACGAAGCUUCUUGUGACGGUACCUGCAGAAGAAGCACCGGCUAACUACGUG